UCGAUUGUCGGUUGCCUGCAUGUCGCCAGUCUACUUCAAUGCUUACUUGUGUGCUAUAUACAUUUCAGUUCAUAUUAUUUCGAAAUUAUUCGCUACAGGGUGUGCUAGAGACGUUUGGAUUUUUGCACUGGUUUAUCUUCUAGAAGAGAGAGCGACAGAGAGGGCGAAUAGGAGAGAGUGGGAAGGAGCAGCUGCUCCUUGGCCCCGCCCAUUUGACGGAUUUCGGUAACGCUCCGAACUUACCGUUUCACUCGCCUAUUUUCAAUCUGCCUUGGGGCCCCCGACGCGCCUAAAGAAGUUUCACUUCAAAAAAAAGAAUCGCGUUUAAUUCAGUGAAAAUCUGCAAGCGAAAAGAAAAACGCAUUUCACACCGCAAUAAAUAAAAAGCAAGAAAAGAAGAAAACAAUAAGGCAAAAAGCGGGCAUCUUUCUUUUGCUAAAUAUUUUGCUGAAGCUGAGGGGUGCAAAAGGAUGCAUCAAAGGAGUAAUGCAGCGCGUGUACUCAGAUGCCUUGAUGCUCAACUAUAAUUUUGAAGGGAAAGCCACUAAAUCGGCGCUUUUCGGACUCAAAAGUCUGGAACUU